rnacentral:piRNA from 1 species
UGUCAGGCACAAUGGAUCAGCCCCCAAUG